CUCCAGCCCUGCCCUCCUCCUAUGACAGAAAGGUCAGUGUUGCCCUAACAAGGCCAUUGGAUCUCAGAAGCUGCUCCCAAAAUAACCCCCUGGCCAGCCUAGCCUCCUUCAGAGCAGGAGGGAGGGGUGUUUCAAACCGAGCUGUGGCUGCAGACCCAGGCAGGGGCUGGAGGGCAGAGGAAGGGAGCUAAGAACUGAGUGCAGACAGCCCAGGCCACCUUCGUGCCUUCCCUUCCCAUGGGUAGAAGCUGCCUUCUGCUCUUGGAGUCCUCUGCUCAGGACAGGGAGGAGGGAGGGGACACCAAGUCCCCAGCCCUGGAACACUUCAACUCCCCCAGCACAACAGGCUGGCAAACCUCAGACGCCCCACCACUGGCACCCCCUAACAGGCCCUGGGGCUCCAGCACCACUGCCAACGCCAUCAAGGAAGUGGGUGACCUAAAGAGAAAGCAACGGGGGACGGUUUCCCAUGUGCUUCUGACUGCAGAGGGAGACUCAGGAAGAGAGCCCCAUUUCCAUGUCAGCACUUCACCACCUGGAGGAGACCUCAGCCUCCCUCGCUGCAGAGUGGAGAAAGAACAAUCAUUCAGCCCAGCAGCCUGCCCCUCGACCAGGUGGACAACAAUUUCCUCCCCAAAAUCGCCUCUAAGGACACCUCCGUGCUGCCUCCAGGGCGUUCUGCAUUCCCACUGGUCCCUGAGGACUUGGAGCAGCAACUUUGCUGUCAAGGGAAGAUGGAAGAGCAUUCCAACCGGAAGGGAGUAAGAAUCUCCUGAAUUCUCCAUCCAGAGGUGUUCACUUCCUCCCGCUGUUACCUCCUUGACUUCUUAAACCGGGCUGCCUCCCGGGAACCCGUGGAGAGGGAACAAAGUUCCGAGCACAAGAGGACUGCGCCCAGUCUGCUUGGGUUCUGAGCCCCUGAGCCCCGGUGAAGAAGCUGCCUUUCCCAGGGACCUCUGCAGACUUGUCUCCAGGCUGGAUCAGCUGCCUUUGCCACAGGCUGGCUCAUUCUCCAAAUCCUGAGUCACUUGAGGUAGAAAUUUUCUUCUUCCCAAAGAAAACAGCACCUCAUCUUGGGUGGGCCCUGGCUUCCCUGUCUGCACACACUGGGUGCCUCAUCUCUCUUCUCAGCAGCACGGGAAGCACAGGACUCCCUUCUGGAAAGGCUUUCUUGGCUGAUUUCUAGGAUGGACCCUCCCUUGGUUCUGCCCUUGCUUCACUGGUUCCUUCUCAGUGCCUGAACUUUGUACCUCAGGAAUGUCCAGAACUUGGUCCUCUGACUUUUUUCAAACAAGCUAUUACUAUGUUGUCCAGGCUGGCCUGGGACUCAUGGGCUCAAGUGAUUCUCCUGCCUUAGCUUCCCGAGUAGCCAGGAUUUCAGCUGCAGGCCACUGCACCCAGCUCCGACUUCUUUAUGUACCGUCACUGCCUAGGUGAUCUUCAGUAUCAUGGCUUUCAAAACAUUCACAUACUCAUCACUCCUACAUUUGUCUCUCCAAACCAUUAUCCAACCACGUACUCAACAUCUCUGCAUAUCUUGAGCAUCUCAGACUUCACAAGAACAAAACUCAACUCCCCAUUUCCCUUCCGAAAUCUUAAAAGCUUUGGGCUCAUCCUUAAUUCCUUUCUCGCACCCUACCUAUAUCCAACCCACCAGUAAAUCCCUUCAACUCUACCUUCAAAAUCAUUCCAGAUCACAGAAUAGCUUCUGCACUGCCAAGUGUCCAGCCACAAAACCAUUGCCUGGUCCACUGCAAGCCUCCUGACUGCUCUACUUGCCUCCCCUUAGCCCACACUCGGCAGCUGAUGGUCCUUUAAAAGGUUAAUCUUGUAAUCCCAGCAGUCAGGAGGCAGAGGCAGGAGGAACACAAAAGUUUGAGACCAGCCUUGGCUACACAGUAAGUUCAAGGCCACCUCUUAGGUCUCAUAGCAAGAUCUUUUCUCAAACAAAGUCAUCUCUCUUCUCUGCUCAUUUGCUACGUGGCUCUUUACCUCACUCCUACUGCAAGCCAAAGCUUUUAAAACUCCACUAGGCCCUCCACAUCUGGCCCCACCAGAACCCCUGACCACAGCUGCUCAAGCUGUAAUUUUUGUGUUUCCUUCGGCCAAAACUGCAAAGGCCUACAGGGCUCACGCCCUCAAGGUUUCUCCACUUUAUCACAGAAACUCCACUGGUGACCGCAAAUAGUAGAAAUCCCACCCCCUCCUCUUUCUCCUAGUCACUUCCCCCUCCAUACCACUUGUAUGUUCAUCAUCUUUCUCCACCGAGGACAGGAAUAUUGUUCUGCUUACUUUUCUACUUCUGGUACCUAGUGUGUUGGUGUAUUGGAAACACUCAAGAGAUAUUUGAAUAAAAGAAUGAACUGAAGGUAGAAAUCAGGAUGGCAUCCUUCAGAACAUCAGAAUAUAAUUUAAACAAUUCCUCAGUCCACAAACUGAAUCAAUUUUCUAGUAUGUAUUGAGAGUAAAUCACAUCCACAAAUGAGUCAAAUAUUCUAAUGUGAGAAAUUAACAUGGAAGCUGGUCCAGUUUGGUCUGAGCAAUUUUUAACUGAGAUUUCACCGAAGGGCUGGGGAUUUAGCUCAGUGGUUCUGCUGCCUGCCUCACAGGCACAAGGUCCAGAGUUUUCUAUCCCUGGUACCAAAAAAAAAAAGAUUCAAGACAUUAGUAACCCACAAUGUAACCCCAUGAAUCUGGAAUGCCUACACUUUCACCCUAGUUGAUUUCAACAGGUUCCUAGGUCAUUGGAACUUUAAUCUUUUCAAUCCUUACACCCCACCAACCUUGUAUGAAAAGAAUGUAGUACCACUCCUCAUUCUCUGAUUUUGUGUCAACAGACCACUUUUUGAAAACAAAUGAAAAGGGCUUAAUAACUUAAGACCUAAUCUUAACUGUAUUUGAAUCAGGUAGCUCAUUACUUAAUUACAAGUAACUCCAGUAAAAAAAAGUGAGACAAAAUGCUAGCUGUGCAGGUGUGGGUUGGGGUAGUACCUUUUCAACCAACUUACAUGGCCUCUAUUUGUGAGGGUGAUCUAAGAACCCCUGAGGGUUCUGAGACAUUUUUAAGGAAUCUGAGAAGUUAAACUAGUUUCAUGGCACUAAGACAUUCUUAAUUCUCUCCAGUGUACAAUGGAGUCUGCUGGAGAUGUGAUAUCUUGAGUGAAUACAGGAGCAGAUAUGAGAACUUCUGACACCAAACAUUACAGACUUGCAAAAAUGUGAAACAAUGCCACUCUUCCCAUCUAGUAUUUGUUUCAGAAUCGCUAUCUUUAAAAAUGUUACUUAUGUUAGCUUGUAACUGGUUGUUUUGUAAACUUCUUAGCUGUAAUUCCUAUCUGGCAAAUGAGUUAUUAUCCACAUUAAUUCUUUAAAGUGCUGAAUUUGUAUGUGUAAAGGACAACCAAAGUUUGAGAAUUGCUGCCUUUGACAUACAAAGCAGUAACCUUCUAUCACUAAGAAAUAAGUCAGUUUUUAGAGCUAUGAUGGCAUUUUGCUCACUUGCUCUCACCACAGCCUUCAGCGCUACUACAUCCAUACUAGAAACUAGCAAGGGUCUUUACACUUCCUACCUGUCCCAAGUACAAAUUACCCGAGACCCCUCUGUCACAAAUCAACUAUGAAAUGAGUGGGAUGUUUCAGGGAGUAGGUAGUAAAGGCUUAUUUUGUAAUCUAAAUAAAAUAAAUUUCCUAUUACUGAAUUUUGUUGGCAUACUCAGGAUGGUGUGAAUACAAACUAUGUGGCAUACACAAUGUUCAUGUUGCAACCAUCUGAAAAAGAUAAGGACUCAUCCUCCAGCUGAAAACCACCACUUAAAAAAAAAACUUUGGCAAGAAUUUUGGGCAGGCCGACUGGAAAUGCAUUAGGAUAUAGCAUGUAAAAAAUUAUCUUCAGAGGUUGUGCAGUUCAAAGAAAUAAUGAACAUCUACAGCAUUUGAAACUGAAGUAUGAGACAUAUACUACAACUUACUGCAAGAAAUAAACCAAAUAAAAAUGCCAGAGGUCAGUGGUGCCGCCAUCU